UUGGGCGGGCACAAAUCUCUUACUACUGCCCAAAAUGCUGGAAGAAUUGCAAUAGCUGUGGAGUGGCAGAGUCCAAUAAAAAUGCAGGUUGGGGUCACUUGUCACCGCUCUAUCCCCCACUACGCCUGCCUACUGGAAACAAAAUCGAAAUCGAAAUCAAUCCCUCUUCUCCCGACAACAACAGGGACAAGAGCAGCUCCAAAUUAUGUUAUUGUACGGGUUUCAUUUGAUUCUCGGGGCCGAGCUGCUAGGACUGAAGGAGCAGGAGCAGGAGGAGGAGUUCCGGUGGAGGAAGGAGGGGGAGUUCCGGUGCCAGUCCGGGUUGUGGGCACUCCGGAACAGCCAGGAGGGAAGAUGGUGGCUGAAUUGGUGGGGGCAUUUAAUCAGUUGACUCACCGGAUGACGAUGAUGAAGCCCAGCAACAGCAACAGCAGCAGCAGCAGCAGCAAUGGCAAUAGCAAUUGCAGUAGUAAUCUCUCCACCAGCUCCUCUCGCUUGCUCUUCAAGACUCUCAAGCUUUCAAUUCCUAUUCUCCAGGCCCUCCCUCCGACCCCUCCUGGCCACCGCCCUCCUCUCUCCAAAGCCCUCUCUGUCGCCUUCAUUCUCGCCGAUCUUCAGAUGGAUGCUGAAGUUAUCUCUGCUGGUAUAUUGAGACAAGUUCUAGAGGCAGGUGCCAUGUCCUUCUUUCAAGUCAAGGAUCGCAUUGGUACCAGUACUGCUCAUUUGCUUCACGAGAGCUUACGCCUCAACAACAUUUAUUCGAAAGUCCAAAUCCUAGAUGAUGAUUCUGCUGCUGCUUUAAGGAAAUAUUGUCUCACUUGCUAUGACUCCAGGGCCUUAAUACUUGACCUUGCUCUCAAGCUUGAUUCCAUGCGCCAUCUCAAUUACCUUCCCAGGUACCAGCAGCAAUUAAUUUCUCUCGAGGUCAUGAAGAUACAUGCCCCUUUAGCUCAUGCCUUGUCCACCAACAUUUUGUCUCUGGAGCUGGAAGAUCUUUCCUUCCGCUACUUGUUUCCUUAUUCUUACGUCUAUGUGGACGCAUGGUUGGGGAGCCACCAGACCAGUGGAAGCGAGCAUCUGUUAGACAUCUACCAGGAGCAGCUGCUUCAGUCCCUGAGGUCGGAUCCAAUAUUAACAGAAAUUGUUGAUGAUAUCUCUGUCAAAGCUCGUUCCAAAAGUCGUUAUAGCACCAUGAAGAAGCUUUUGAGAGAUGGACGCAAGCCUGAAGAGGUGUACGACAUCUUAGGACUGAGAGUAAUCUUAAGUCCUUCCCAAGUUAAUUCAUCACAACUUGGAGAAAAGGCAUGCUACAGAACUCGUGAAAUAAUUCGGUCUUUAUGGAAGGAGAUUCCUAGUCGGUCAAGAGACUACAUCGCCAGGCCAAAGGCAAAUGGGUACAGGAGCUUGCACAUGGUUGUUGAUAUCAGUGAUAAUGGCAGGCAUAGACCGAUGAUGGAAAUACAGAUACGGACAGCAGAGAUGGACAUGUUGGCAGCUGAUGGUACGGCUUCCCAUGCACUGUAUAAGAGUGGCCUUACUGAUCCUGAAGAGGCAAAGCGUCUCAAGGCGAUCAUGAUAGCUGCAGCUGAAUUUGCAGCAAUGCGCCUGCAAGACCUCCCGUCUGCUAAUACUAGGUGUCUUGAGAUUGACCGUAGAGAUCGAGUUUUUUGUCUUCUUGACAAGGAUGGUGAUGGUAAAAUCAGCAUUGAAGAACUUAUGGAAGUAAUGGAAGAGCUAGGUGCUGAAGGAGAAGAUGCUCGGGAGAUGAUGGAACUUCUUGAUUCAAAUAGUGAUGGUUCUUUGAGCUCUGAUGAGUUUGAUUUAUUUCAGAAGCAGGCUGAAUUGAUGCGCAAUUUAGAUGCUAGAGAUGAUCAGUACAAGACCUUGUUAGACGAGAAGCUCCAAAUAUCAGAUAGCAGUGGUGUGAUUCAGGCAUACACCUAACAACUCAUAGACACGUCUGUAACAAAUAGGACUUGCUUGUACAGCUACAGGAAGCGAGAUAUCUUUCUUCAAGAAUGCAGUAUGUCAAGGCACCGCCUUAAAGGAUUUUUAUGACUGUCAUUGUUUCCCAGCUGCUUCAGUGUAUGCUCUUCCAAACUAACCUAAUUGCUGUGUCAAGUUUAAAUUUGGACUUGAUUUUGAACUUUUCCAGAGGACUUUGGCGGACGCAUAGUGCCAAGACCUGUGAUCGAAGAUCCAUAGCCUUGAUGUCAGAGUUGAAAAUGAUUUGUUGGUUUAUGAGUCAAAGAGAGGGAGAAAAGGAAGAGUGAAGAGAAGUAGGAGCAACAAUUCUACUAGCUUGGUUUUGUGUUCUUCAUUCAAGAUGAGAGUGGUUUGGGGUUAAUUUCUCUGGUUGGAUUUUAUGUAAUACAGACUUCCUUUCUGAUGACAGGUAGUGCUUGGGGUCCAUGCAGAAUGUGUCCCAUGCUUUAAAGUGAUAAAAGAGCAAGGUACUAAAAUUGUGGAAGCUGCUGAAAUAGUCAAUUAAGCUUGAGGUAUGCAUUGAUGUCAGAUAUUUUCUAUAUUUGUAAUGAGAAUCUUUAGAAAGAUAUGUGGCUUCAUUGUUAAAUGUAGUCUAUGAUUCUCGAAUUAUGAGUAUGUCUGAAAUGAUUCCAUGUCCUCUGUCCUUGACUAUUGUUGUUUGUGUAAAUGCUGGUUCAAUAAUUCAGCUUAGGGUUUAUGCCUUGCUUGGUUGUGGCAGAGAGAGGGGUGGAGUAGAAAUGCCUGAAAAUAUGUUUUUUUUUUUA